rnacentral:rRNA from 1 species
UACGGAGGGGGCUAGCGUUGUUCGGAAUUACUGGGCGUAAAGGGCGCGUAGGCGGGCCGCAUAGUCAGGGGUGAAAUCCUCCAGCUUAACUGGAGAAGUGCCUCUGAUACUGGCGGCCUCGAGGGGUGCAGGGGCGUGCGGAACUUAGGGUGGAGCGGUGAAAUGCGUAGAUAUCCUAAGGAACACCGGUGGCGAAGGCGGCACGCUGGACACCUUCUGACGCUGAGGCGCGAAAGCCAGGGGAGCAAACGGG